CCUCGCCUCUCCCCCGCGCUCGUGCCUCUCCUUCUCUCGCCUGGACUCCACCUCCUCCGGGCCCCUGCCUGCACUCUGCCCCUUCCUCUUCUUGUUGUGGCAGACAUCACCGUUGAGCAUGCCUGCGUUGCCGCUGCUGCGAAGGGAUCCUCGACGCCGCCGCAUCUGAGGAGGGUUCCCUACAGGGGGCCCUAAAUGUGGCAGGUGACUCCAUCCCCUGUCGCAUGCGGCGGAGGCCAGCCCAGAUCCGCCUCCUCCAGCCCAUCCUCUUUUUCACGCAAAACGGAAAAGGUUGGCCCUGGUUCGAGCUCCGCCACCCCAUCCCAGGCAGUUGUUCAUCAGUGGCAGGCCAAGCUCCGCCUCCUCAGCACCCAUUGUGUCUGCGACCGGACCUUGACGGGAUUUUCCCUGGACAGGACCUCAACGACGACCUCCAG
rnacentral:rRNA from 1 species